rnacentral:lncRNA from 1 species
GAAAUACAGACACAAACAUGAAUAUUCUAUAUUCAUUCAAGUGACCAAUGGUUGAAGUCCCAAGUACAUUUUAGUAAUUCUCUUAUCACUUCUACAGGAUACAAGCAAGUGUAUAAUUAUUUUUAUGGCGUUUUAUGCGUACUUUAUAUUUUUGUAACAUUGAUUAUGGGGUCCUUUAUGUUUGCAGUCUUAUUAUUUCAUUAUGCUUUUAAUAAAGUUUCAAUAUUUUAAAAGUGUAGUAUGGUAUUCAAGAUGUGAUUUUAGUGACACUCAAAUCUUUAGAAGCCGAUUGUUAUAGUUGGUAUCAGAGCACGAAUUUUAAACAGUUCUAUAGACAUUUUAAAUUUGAAAAAUAAAAAUCUUUUUACGUGGAGGUACUAUUCAUGUGAACAGUAAUCUCGUAUUAUUUUAGAAAAAAAAAAUAUUUGUUUAUAUAAUUUUUGUGUAUGGGUUAAGUAGAUUACGUUACAGUUUAAUUGUUCAAAUAUAUAUAUGUAAAAAGAUUUACAUUAUUCAGGAAUCAACAGGUCCAAAGAUAAUAAUUUUUAAGAAAUAAGUCAUUAGUCUUGAAAUAAAAUUAAAUGAAUUUUAAGUCACUACCUCGCUAUGCCAUUCUCCAUGUUCUGAUUCCUCGAAUCAGAUAUAUUAUAAUUAUAUGCUUGUUACUCAUUCAUAUUCAUCAUUCAAAAUACCAUGAAACCUGCUUAUUAUGUGAAGCAUGAAUUAUCUUGAAAUUAUAAGACUUAUAUAAUGCAAUUUUAUAGAUGCAUGUUGAGUAUGAAAGAUUUAUGUGAAAAUAGGAUAAGAAUGAUUAUUAUUAUGCUUUUAAGUAUGGGGUGCUGAUUAGGAAUUACCCAACUGAGAAAAUUUAUACUUUCAGAUACUUUUGUUUCUAUCUACAGUUUUUUAAUUUUUAAUUUUAUUUUUUAUUUUUUGUGAAUUUGUGUUCAUGAAACUGAAAAUAUUUGUCGAAACAACUUAAAAUAUCUAAGGAAAGUUUGUAUUUAAGUGAUCUAUUGUAAUCUUCUCCUCAACCGGGAGCCUUUUAUUACAUGUUUUAGAAAUCAACGAAAUGAAAGCAAGACUACAAAUUAAAAAUUCACUCUAAAUUUAGGAAAGUAAAAUCUUACUUUUGGGAAAUUUUUAGAUUAGGAAAGUCCUAUUUUUGGAAAUUUCAAGUUAAAUCAAGAUUUCGAUUAAUUUCAUUUCGCCUUUGUAGAUGAUUAAAAGAUCCGAUCAAGUUAAGAGCAAGAGGAAAAGGACAAGAAAUCAUUCAAAGUUUCUACACGUCUUUAGGACUUACGAGCAAAACCCAACCCAUACCCCGAUAAAAUAUUUGGAUGCCAUAGAAAUGAUCUACCAAGGAGCGAGACUAAAUGGACAUGAGUUGAAUAUGAAUGAGGCCAUUUUCAACCUUUUUAGGACCUUAAAAGUUUGCUGAAUAGAUUGAUGUAAUGUUCGAUUGUCACAUAUCUACCCAACCACUAAUUGCCAAUCAUAUGGAAAGGUUGGCCAUUAACGGUAAGGAUUACGAUAAUAUAUAGAGGCUUGCGGAUAUGAGCCUGAUCAUCGCCAUCGUUGCCUAUUCGAUCCAGCUCCUUAUAUCAGUUAUCUAGAAAUACUAUAGGUUGAUAGUGAGGGUAACAUUAUAAAGUACACCCAGAUGUCUUCAACAUAAGAAAGGACCCUCAGAAAAAUCAAGAAAAAGAGUGUUGAGAUGAGUUAUUAGACUAUAAUCAUUGAUGUUAUGUUUAGAAUUUUGCAUUUAACUAUAGACCUUUCCAUUUUAG